GGUUGAUCCUGCCGGACCUGACUGCUAUCGUAUUGGUACUAAGCCAUGCGAGUCAUUGUACAAUACAAGGCGGACGGCUCAGUAACACGUAGUCAACCUAACUCGUGGACGUGGAUAACCUCGGGAAACUGAGAAUAAACCACGAUAGAUCAUUAUGCCUGGAAUGGCUUAUGGUCCAAAUAGUUUACUGCCAUGAGAUGGGACUGCGGCCUAUCAGCUUGUUGGUGAGGUAAUGGCCCACCAAGGCUAUAACAGGUACGGGCUCUGAGAGGAGAAGCCCGGAGAUGGGUACUGAGACACGGACCCAGGCCCUAUGGGGCGCAGCAGGCGAGAAACCUUAGCAAUGUGCGAAAGCACGACUGGGUCAGUCCGAGUGAUUCCUGAUAAAGGAGUCUUUUGCUUGUCCUAAAAGCACAGGUGAAUAAGGGGUGGGCAAGUCUGGUGUCAGCCGCCGCGGUAAUACCAGCACCUCGAGUGGUCAGGACGUUUAUUGGGCCUAAAGCAUCCGUAGCCGGCUCUGCAAGUCUUCGGUUAAAUCCACCUGCUCAACAGAUGGGCCGCUGGAGAUACUACAGAGCUAGGGAGUGGGAGAGGCAGCCGGUAUUCAGCGGGUAAGGGUAAAAUCCUCUGAUUC
rnacentral:rRNA from 1 species